GACGAACGCUGGCGGCGUGCCUAAUACAUGCAAGUAGAACGCUGAAGGAGGAGCUUGCUCUUCUGGAUGAGUUGCGAACGGGUGAGUAACGCGUAGGUAACCUGCCUGGUAGCGGGGGAUAACUAUUGGAAACGAUAGCUAAUACCGCAUAAGAGUAGAUGUCGCAUGACAUUUGCUUAAAAGGUGCAAUUGCAUCACUACCAGAUGGACCUGCGUUGUAUUAGCUAGUUGGUGGGGUAACGGCUCACCAAGGCGACGAUACAUAGCCGACCUGAGAGGGGGGUCGGCCACACUGGGACUGAGACACGGCCCAGACUCCUACGGGAGGCAGCAGUAGGGAAUCUUCGGCAAUGGACGGAAGUCUGACCGAGCAACGCCGCGUGAGUGAAGAAGGUUUUCGGAUCGUAAAGCUCUGUUGUAAGAGAAGAACGAGUGUGAGAGUGGAAAGUUCACACUGUGACGGUAUCUUACCAGAAAGGGACGGCUAACUACGUG
rnacentral:rRNA from 1 species